AUGCUAAUGAGUGUGCAAACCCCACUGCACACUCUUGCACGCCCGUUCCCCGUUGCACAACCCACUGCACGCCCAUGCCCCAUUGCACACCCCAUUGUGCACACAUGUCCCAUUGCACUGUCUCUUGCACACUCAUCCCAUGGCACAUCCCUGUCCUGUUGCACAUUCAAGUCCUCUUGCACAAUCGUCCUGUUGCACGUCUGGGUCCUCUUGCACGUCCCGUUGCACGCUCAAGUCCCAGGGAACCACGCUCCCUUGCACACUCAAGUCUCCUUGCACAACCCAAUCCUGUUGCAAAUUGAUCCCCUUGCACGUCCACCUCUUCUUUCACCUCCAAGUCCUGUUGCACUCUCAAUUUGCACGGCACAUCCAAAUCCCAUUGCACGCGGACUUUUUUUGCACACCCACGUGCCACCACACAUCCUAAUUGUGGUGCACUUCCACAUCCCAUUGCACACCCCGGUUGUGCUGCACGCCUACAUCCUCUUCCAUGUCCAAGUAGCCUUGCACACUCUAUUCCCACUUCACGUACAAAUCUCGUUGCACACUCAAAUUCUGUUGCACAUCCAAGUCCUAGUGCACGUCCAAAUCCCAUUUCACAUCCAAGUUGCCUUGCACACUCACAUCCCAUUGCACGUCCAAGUUGCUUUGCACACCCAAAUCCUGUUGCACACCCACAUGUUGCUGCAAGUCACAGUUGCGUUGCACACUCAAAUCCCAUUGCAAGUCCAAGUGUCGUUGCAGGGUCCCCGUUGCAUUGCAAGUCCCAGUCGUGUUGCAAAUCUCAGUUGCAUUGCACACUCCAAACCCUUUGCACAUCCAUGUGUUGCAUUGCACACCCCCGUCCCUUUGCACAUCCACAUGUCAUUGCAAGUCCAAGUGUCGUUGCAGGUCCCGGUUGCGUUGCACACCCCCGUCCCUUUGCACAUCCACAUCUCGUUGCAAGUCCAAGUGUCGUUGCAAGUCCAAGUGUUGUUGCAGAUCCCGGUUGCAUUGCACUCUCCAAUCCCUUUGCACAUCCAGGUGUCGUUGCACAUCCAUGUCUUGUUGCAAGUCCCAGCUGCAUUGCACACCCCAAUCCCUUUGCAAGUCCCGGUUGC
rnacentral:lncRNA from 1 species